AACUGAAUGUUAUUGUACAGCAAGGUGCUCAACUUGAAGCAGGGAUUGCAGGAUGCUGCCUGCAAAAACCUAGAUGACAUAAUUGUAAUAUAGGCACAGCAGUAGCUCUGACUGUGUCACGGCAAUCCAGCUUCACAAAGAAAAAGCAGCCUCUCUGCCCCAGAGAUCCUUUGCAUCCAAAAAAGUGGUGACCUUCUGUAAUAGGGGACCCGCCCUCAUUACUGAGGAAGAGACAUGAGGUCUUUUAAACAGACUACAUUGCAUUGGGGCCAGAGGAAAAGAGCUGUGUAAGAGGAGGUGCCAAGAAGGAGUUCUGCCGGGAGACUCUCACAGGGAGGUAAGUUAGGCGUUUAUAUUUCUGUUAGGGGUUUGUAUUAGCCACAAGGCAUAGAAGUGGCUGAAGGGGAGGCAGGAGGCCACAGUGGGUGUCUGGAUUGUGACUAGUGGGUGGGGUGCAUAGCAAACUGUUGGAGAAGGCAAGAAAACACAGCAGAUGGUUAUAGGGGG